rnacentral:lncRNA from 1 species
AUGUCCUCCCGGGUGGUGCCACCUCCUGCCCACCUCUGUCCAUCCCCAUCCGCCUGUCCUUCCAUCCUUGGGCACCUCCAGGUGCCACCACGUCCUUUCUCCAGCAGUGCCACAUCCAGAGUGACAUCCCGGGACACCUCCAGGUGCCACGACGUCCUUUCCAAGUGCUGCCACAUCCUUGGACACCUCCAGGUGCCACCAUGUCCUCCCUGGGCAGUGCCACAUCCAGGGUCACAUCCUUGGAUACCUCCAGGUGCCACCACGUCCUUUCCAAGUGCUGCCACAUCCUUGGACACCUCCAGGUGCCACCAUGUCCUCCCUGGGCAGUGCCACAUCCAGGGUCACAUCCUUGGAUACCUCCAGGUGCCACCACGUCCUUUCCAAGUGCUGCUACAUCCAGGGUCACAUCCAGGGACACUGCCAGGUGCCACCACGUCCCUUCUCCAGCAGUGCCACAUCCAGGGUCACAUUGUGGGACACCUCCAGGUGCCACCACAUCCCUCCCCAAGGAUCUGGGGGGUCUUGGGGCUCCCCAGGCUCCCGGCAGGAUCCGCUGGGGCUCCAUGGGGCAGGUGGAGCAGGGCACAGGUGACAGGUGACCCCAGCAGGUUCCUGGUGCCCCAGCGGGUUCCUGGUGGCCCAGCGUGGCUCUUGGUGGCUCCAGUGGGUUCCUGGUGGCCCCAGUGGGUUCCUGGUGGCCCCAGUGGGUUCCUGGUGGCUCCAGCGGGUUCCUGGUGGCCCCAGCGGGUUCCUGGUGGCCCAGCGGGGCUCCUGGUGGCCCCGGGCUCCUCAGGGCCGCUCCUCGGGAGGGGUCGGCUGCGGGCGUGGCGCCGGGGGCUCCUAGCCCUUGUCCUGUGCCAGCGGAGCGCCCUUGUCACCCAGCGGCUGCGGGGACAAACGGGGACACGGCCGCGUCAGAGGGGACACGGAGGGAGUGGGGGAUUGGGGACAGGGACUGGGGACAGGGACUGGGGACAGGGACUGGGGGAGGCUGGAAUGGGGGGACGGGAAUCAGGGCAGGGGGACAGGGAUUAAGGGACAGGGACUGGGGAGGAAGGAACUGUGUCCUUCCCCAGCUGUCCUUACACUGUCCCUGGGGCUGUCCCCGGGCUGUCCCCACCUUGUCCCCAGGUCUCUCCUCAGGGCUAUCCCCACACUGUCCCCAGACUACCUCCAGGGCUGUCCCCAAGCUGUCCCCAAGCUGUCCCUGGAGCUGUCCCCGUGCUGUCUCCCUCCUGUCCUCAGACUAUCCCCAAGCUGUCUG